rnacentral:rRNA from 1 species
GACGAACGCUGGCGGCGUGCCUAAUACAUGCAAGUAGAACGCACAGUUUAUACCGUAGCUUGCUACACCAUAGACUGUGAGUUGCGAACGGGUGAGUAACGCGUAGGUAACCUGCCUGGUAGCGGGGGAUAACUAUUGGAAACGAUAGCUAAUACCGCAUAAUAUUGAUUAUUGCAUGAUAAUUGAUUGAAAGAUGCUAUUGCAUCACUACCAGAUGGACCUGCGUUGUAUUAGCUAGUAGGUGAGGUAACGGCUCACCUAGGCGACGAUACAUAGCCGACCUGAGAGGGUGAUCGGCCACACUGGGACUGAGACACGGCCCAGACUCCUACGGGAGGCAGCAGUAGGGAAUCUUCGGCAAUGGACGAAAGUCUGACCGAGCAACGCCGCGUGAGUGAAGAAGGUUUUCGGAUCGUAAAGCUCUGUUGUAAGAGAAGAACGGGUGUGAAAGUGGAAAGUUCACACUGUGACGGUAUCUUACCAGAAAGGGACGGCUAACUACGUG